rnacentral:lncRNA from 1 species
CUAGCUGGGUGACUGUCUAGGUGGCCUUUGGCUACAAUAGUCGAGCCCUGAAAACCAUGUUAUCGUGCAGGCGAAAGGCAGCAGUGACAGUGCUGCGGUGCUGCUACUACUGCUGCUGCUGCUGGUGUUUCCUUUCCUCCGCAGGCAGGGCCGGGACGAUGAAGCAGCGGAUGAUAGUGUUUGAGUGCGGGGCGACGCUGAAGUAGGCUUAAAUGGGGGGGAUGGUUUCGUUGGGAUUGCGUGGUGGGGGUUCAAUUAGACAGCGCAGCGCCUAUUGGCACCGUCCUUGCGCACAGCCCUCCUCCAACUUCCUCCCAUCUUUUUCUUUCUCUCCUCCUCCUGGUCCUCACUCUCAGUCAUAGAAGUAGCAGAGUCUGAGUGAUGGUGCAUCAUGCUGUGUGUAAUAUAUCCCCCUAUUUACUACGCUAUAUUUAUCAGUGAUAAAGACAGAGUAUUUCUAUUUGUGGUCACUUUGAUGAUUGAGUUGAACUGAAACAUAUGGUUAAACUUUAAUAUGCGAACAGGGGCCUAUCCACAAGAAAUGCAAGUCCUUCCUUCAUUCAUUUAAUACUAUCAUCAUCACUUUUAUUAUUAUAUUGUUCAUUAGUCAAAACCCCAUAACAAGAGUUAUUUAUUCUGAAUAGUAAAGGUAACACCAAGAACAGCCUGAGCAAACAUUUCAAAUCAAUCUGCAGAAAAGACUCUAGGCUGAUGUAACUAUAGUUAACCCUAAAUAACUCUUAUGAGCCUCCCAUUGGAUAAAGAGGACGUUUGUAUGGUUCAUCAAAACAAACCUUUGCCAAAGUUUGGGGAGUAGAGAGAUUACAAAGGAGAUUUUUGUUCACAUAAGCAUGGGUAAACACUGAUGUAAAAAGUGGGGUUGAGUGGGGUGAUUUGCUGACUGAUGGGUGUGGUUUCUCUGUCUGUAUGUGUGUGGAUGUUUUAAAGCGAUGUUCAUUUGCUGAUGGCCAUGUGUAAAAUGAGAGUCCUAGUUUAUGAGGUGGAGCAAAAAGUGAUGCUCUACUUUGGGACUUAAUGAGUUUGCCUUUCCUGAAAGUGGGGUGUCCAGGGAGCUUAUCCUUCCCCGUCCUUUCUCUUCUUCCAGGCCUGAGAACAGAGAGGCAGCAGAAAAUUAGAUGUAAAUGUUGUAGUUCCUUCAAAUUUUAAAAUGAUACACCAUGAUACAGAGGGAAUAAAGUAUGAUAAAUUUAGGAUGUAUCAGUAUGAUCAAUUUUUAGCUGUUAAAAUAAAAUGUGUGCAUAUUUUAUGAAAUGAAAUUGAUCCAAGUGCACUAAAAUUUAGUUUUUUCCUCUUUGUCUUUAUUUACUCCGAAGUAUGAGAGGUGAAAAGAAGAUGGAAUGCAUCUGAAUCUGGAUCUUUUAGAGGACAGAUGAGCAGAUAUUUGGCUGUACUUUACAGAUGAGAGGCUCAACAAGUCUUGUUUUCAUUCGACAGGCUAGUACGAUUUUAUUUACAAACUCUUUGAAUGUGUGUUCGCUUUGAUCACUCCUUUAUAGUUGUAGAUUGAUUGUUUGUUUCGGGGUUAAAACUGUAUGUCUUUGUUAUUCAAAAGGAAAGCUUGGCAACAGACUGACCGGUGGGAGCAUUUGAUCAUCGCUGGAAUAUUAUUAAACUGAUAAAGCAUUUUUGAAUAGGUUCAAAUACAG